GGCGAGUGAAGCGGCAACAGCUCAAAUUUGAAAGCCCGCGGGCGUUGUAAUUUGCAGGCGGAUGUUUUGGGGCGGGCGCUGUCUACGUUCCUUGGAACAGGACGCCGCAGAGGGUGAGAGCCCCGUGCGAUGGCGCCUCUAACCGCGUAAAACUCCGCCGACGAGUCGAGUUGUUUGGGAAUGCAGCUCCAAGUGGGUGGUAAAUUCCAUCUAAAGCUAAAUACUGGCGAGAGACCGAUAGCGAACAAGUACAGUGAUGGAAAGAUGAAAAGCACUUUGAAAAGAGAGUGAAACAGCACGUGAAAUUGUUGAAAGGGAAGGGUAUGCGAUUAGCGGCCAGCAGGAGGUGCCUUCUCGUGAAAAGGCCGUGCACCGUCUUCGGACACCGUGCGCGGAGAUGGCGAGGGGGCGCCUGAGGUCUGCGAACUCGAGGUUGCUGGCGUAAUGAUUGCAUACCACCCGUCUU
rnacentral:rRNA from 1 species